rnacentral:rRNA from 1 species
GUGCCAGCCGCCGCGGUAAUACAGAGGGUGCGAGCGUUGUCCGGAAUCACUGGGCGUAAAGGGCGCGUAGGUGGCUCGUUAAGCGUGUGGUGAAAGCCUGGGGCUCAACCCCAGGUCUGCCAUGCGAACUGGCGAGCUGGAGCAUAGUAGAGGCGGGUGGAAUUCCGGGUGUAGCGGUGGAAUGCGUAGAUAUCCGGAAGAACACCGGUGGCGAAGGCGGCCCGCUGGGCUAUUGCUGACACUGAAGCGCGACAGCGUGGGGAGCAAACAGGAUUAGAUACCCGUGUAGUCC